GCUUUCAGUCAAGCAAGACUACAAAUCGGUGAUCAUAGAACGACGAUGAGGGAGAGCUUGGAAAAAUUGGUGCUUUUUUGAGAUUGGAUCCGCGCGGAAAGAAGAAACUUUGGCAUUGCAGAAUCACAACCGGCGAUAGAUGAAGCAUAUGAAUAAAUGAUAGCAGAACUUUCGGAGGAUUCGGCUUCGCCCGGAAGUGGUGAUGAACAAGCUUCAU
rnacentral:lncRNA from 1 species